UACGGAGGGUGCAAGCAUUGAUCGGAAUUACUGGGCGUAAAGGGCGCGCAGGCGGUCGGGAAAGUCAGAUGUGAAAUUCCGGAGCUCAACUCCGGAGCUGCAUUUGAAACUUCCUGACUAGAGUUCAGUUAGGGAAAACGGAAUUCCACGUGUAGCGGUGAAAUGCGUAGAUAUGUGGAAGAACACCGGUGGUGAAGACGGUUUUCUGGGCUGAUACUGACGCUGAGGCGCGAAAGCAAGGGGAGCAAACAGG
rnacentral:rRNA from 1 species